UUUUUUCCUUUUAGUGUGAAUGCUUAAAAAUCACAGUAGCUAGUAGCAAGGAUAUGAAAGUAGAUAUUUUCGAAAUGAGUUAAAGAUGUGCAAAGAGAAAUUACAUCAUACUACACUUGUUCACACUAGCCAUCACUUUUAAGAUGUUGACUGCUAUUUAAUUGUUAAAUGAACAAACUCACUCAUGAAAUUGGACUGCACUUACCGACGUAGAGAUUUAAGAACCAAAUAGCAAAACAAAAAAGAACCAAAAUAAAUUAAAACAGUCCAUUAAACAGACCCAAAUAGACCUAAACCCCAUUUCAAUGAAAAAAACCAAAUAAAUCAAAUAACUCAAUGCCUAAAAGGCCCAAUGGCCCAAAACCUAGACCUAGGUUCAGCCUAACAGAAACCUAGGGUUUCCCUUGCGCCGCAGCUGGCCUCACAGCACCGUACAACCUCCAAUGCUUCAGCAGCCUCCAGUACACAGCCUCCGUACGCCCCAUGUCGAGUGCCACGUACCACCACAGCUGGCUCCGUACCCCGUACCUGCAAACCAAAACACGACAAUAGCACAAAAUAGCAAAAAGAAUGUAUUUUUCUUUUUUAUUUCGGCUAUAUAAAGCCAUACAAAAUUGUAUUGUUUUUUUUAGACACGAUCUAUUGAACACGCAUACUAAAAUACAAAAGCAACAAAAAAUCAAAAGGUGAUUUCGGAUUCGGUUCUUCUUUUCCAGUUGUUUUCUUCUUUGUUUUUUUUUUGGUUUUACAUACUGUGUAUUUGGAGUAUAAAAGAAAGAAAAGAAAAGUGAAGGCUUACCUUGCAAAUAUGCCACGAGAUUCCUUCUGCUUCGUUGAAAUCGAGGUAUGAGGGAUCCCAAAGCUGAAAAAACAAUCGCCGAGGCUCGAAUACACUGGUCGCCGACUGUUGUGGCGGAUCGACGUUUGAGCAAAAGGGAAUUAGCGUUCGGCCGAAUAUGGAAAAGGGAGUGUUUAGGUUUUUUUUUCCUAAAUGGCUUAGUUUUAGGGUUUUUUUUGGUUUUAACAAUGUAUAUGAAACGGCACCAUUUAGGGCCUGUUUCAGUGGCUCCAAAACGGUGCCGUCUAAGUCAACCCGUUUCGACCCGAUCCGAUUGCCCCCAGGAUCUGUGUGUUUUUGCGGAGAGGGGAUAUUUGUGCAUUGAGUCCUUCCUUUUCGCGUUGACGUUCAAUUGGAACCCAUUCAUAUUUUUCUUUUUCUUAAUUUAUUUCUGCAACUUGUGCGUAAAUCCAAUUUAGUCCGGCCUCAACGCUGCAUUUGGGAAUCUGGAAUAUUUCCAGUUUCGAUCCCUUUACAUUCGCACGCAUUAUGAUUUAGUCCCUAUUCUAUUUUUAAUGGCUUAUUUUAUUUAUUAAUUACUCCUUUAAGCUUCAUUUUAUUUCAAUUAAGUUUUUUUCAAUUUAUAUGAUUCAUUUUUAAAAGUUCACUUAGCUUUCAUCUUUUAAAUUUUUUUUUUGUUACAUUUUGAGUUACUUUGAUGAAUUUACUUUGUUUUUUUUUUGUUUUUUUAAUUUAUAAAAUUAUUAUUUUCAAAUUCUCUUUUAUAUCAUAUGAUUUUAAAUUUUUGUAUAAUCUUUAAUUUAAAUUACCCUCAUAUUAAUAUAUAUUUAUAUAUAAGUUUAUGUAAAAGUUAGUUGUAUUCUAUGAAUAUUAUUAAUCCCAUGUUAACUUAUUUAUAAAUUCUUUUAAAUCUAUCUGUGUAUAUUUUAUCUUUAUGUACAUAAUUCAUUUUUUUAAAGAACAUAUUUUAUUACAUAUUGUUGUGAUUUAAAAUUUCACAUGUUUAUAUACUAUUUUUUAUAUGCAUAUACAUUGUCCACUUUAAAUGGAUGUAUCAUUUUUAAAAUGUUUUUGUACAUUAUUUGACUCAAAUUUCUUCUUUCAUAAUAUUUAUUUUAAUAAUUAUUUAUAUAUUUGUAGUUUAAUUUUUUUUACAUGUAAAUUAUUUAAAAUUAUGGCAUGUGUUAUACUCGUAAUUUCUCACGUGUUUUUAAUUGUUUUGUACCAUAUCCUAGUGUCCAUAUUGUUUUGUAUAUAAUGUGUGUUUUGUUGGCUUUUUCCAUAUUGUUUUAUAGAUUAUUAUAUCAUAUUUUCAAUUGGUAUUUGGUGUUGUUAUCUUAAUUUUAUUUAUCUAUGUUUGAAAACUUGUUAUAGUUUUUAUUUUGAUUUGUUUCUUUAGUUAUAUUUUUAGUUUUCACUAUUUUGAUCAUUAAUGUUUGGAUGUGAGUUUAAUGUUAUUUUGUCCAUGUUAAUUCUUUUAUUUAUUUAUUUUUAUACUAUUUUCAUUCAUUAAUAGAGUUCGCUAUCCAUGUAUAUUGUCUCAUGUUUAUAAUUUUGUCUUUCAUUCGCAAUUGUCGCAUUGUAAUUUGUAACUUAUUGAUCCAAAAUUAAUGAUUCCAUUUUAUUUCAAGUCGAAUUAAUGUAUUUUGAGUCGACUUUUUAAAAACAAAGGCGAUAUUUGACGUUUGGAAAUUCGGGAAAUCCUGCCCUAACGUGCUGGGUUUCGAUUUUCUGUUUGUCCAAAUGAUCAAAUAUCCCUUUAAAAUUUCGUCCACGUUUUCUAAACUUUAAAAAAAAGGUGAUGUUUGAUACUUAAAAAUUCGGGAAAUCAAGCCCUAACGUGCUAGGUUUCGAUUUUCUGUUUGUCCAAAUGAUCAAAUAUCCCUUCAAAAUUUCGUCCGUAUUCUCUAAACUUCACAACAAGGCAAUAUUCUAUGUUUGGAAACUCGAGAAAUCCUGCCCUAACGUGUAAUACCCCCUACCCAUAUUCAUUGCCGGAAUAGGGUACGAGGUAUUACCGGAGUUUACGAUUUUUUUUUAUAUUCAAUAUAGCCCCUUUAUAAAUAUCUAACCUUCCCUGCAAUAUUAAAUUGAGGCCAAUCCACAUCAACCAAACCAAUUCAACAUAUUUUCAAGAUAAAUUCAUGCAUAUUUAUAAGAUAACGUCAUCACAUACCCAAAACCAGGUUUGUUAACUAUACUAAUGGCUAACUUUACAUUCAUUUCACGUUAACAUUUACUUUAUUAGCUUAUACAUGCCAUUGAUUUCCAAAAUAAAGUUUCUUUAUAUACCGAAAUCCUGAGGUUGAUAGUGUGAUGUGUCUCCGACCAAAUCUGACCUCCGAGCUCUUAACACUACAAAACAGGGGAAAAUGAAACAGGGUAAGCACUUUGUGCUUAGUAAGCUCAUGUAACAAGAAUUAUACUUACCUAAUAUUUUCAAUACAAUACAAUAAACAUUCAUAUAUCCAUUCAAUGCAUUAUUACCCUAACAUGCACAAACUCAACAUUCAAGUUAGUACAAUAAUUUCCAUGUACCAAUAAUAUAUACUAUGAUUGAUGAGCUCAUCAAUACCAUAAUUUUCAUUUCCUUAUAUAUAUAUAUAUAUUUUUUCAUAUUUAUCCCGUUGAAUUUCUUGGAAUUUUCGAUGGAUUUUCAGAGGUACACUUUUAGUGUACAUUUCCAGGUCCGUCAAUUCAUAUUCAUGUGCGCACAUUUCCAUUUCAGAGAGCACACUCCUGCGAACCUCAUCCUUACAGCGGGAUUACCAGUCCAGGCUAAAUCCCCUGUAAUAUAAACUCAUAGAGUAUUGUCGGGAUUACCAGUCCAGGCUAAAUCCCCUGCAAACGACAAUUACUCUAAUGAGCUUGGAUCUGAAUUACCAGUCCAGGCUAAUUUCAGACCCUAAUUCGGAUUACCCGUCCGGGCUAAAUCUAUUUUCCACAUAUUCUUCGGGAGGGCUAUAUCAGGAUAGGAUCACCCGUCUGGGCUAGAUCUUUUUUACCGUCAAUUCCUUUUCAGAGAUCCAUCAAAUUUUCCUUUCAUUCAACCGGGAUUUCUUCCCCUUUUAUCAAAUAUAUCAAUUUUUCAUAAAUUUCCAUAUAAUGAACAUUCAAAUCAUAUUCAUAUCAAAAACAUGCAUUUCAAGCAUUUAAGAAUAUAAUUCAAGUUACACGAACUUACCUUGAUACUUGUUCGUGUACAAAAAUCUACUAAUCCUGAACUUUUUCCUUUCCUCGAUCUAGCUCCGUAUUUGAAUCUUCUGGAUCUAAAUAAAUAAAUUUAAUUAUCAAUUUAAUACAUUUCAUGUUUAUAUGCAACAAUUUCUAUAAUUUCAUUAUUAUUAUUUAUAGUUUAUUCAAAGCUGUCUAUUUGAGUCAUAGUCACUAAAUUAUUUAUAAAUCAAGCUACGGAACUCCAAAUUAAGAUCCGUUAAUUUUCCCUGAAACUAGACUCAUAUAUCUUCUUACAAUAAAAUUUUCAAAAUUUUUGGUUUAGCCAAUAAGUACAGUUUAUUCUUUAAUGUCACCCCUGUUCUGCUGUCUGAUAGUUCUGACCCUUCUUCACUAAAAAUUAAUUAUCUCUUCAUAUAGAAUUCAGAUGAUGUUCCCGUUUGUUUCUCUUGAAAAUAGACUCAUUCAGGAUUCUAUGCAUAUAAAUUUAAGCCCAUAAUUAUUUUUAUUCAAUUUUUUAUGAUUUCUCAAAGUUAGUCUACUGCUGCUGUCCAAUAUUUUUUUAGUGCAAGCUGUUUAUUACCAUUUUUCCCCUAAGCUUUUAAUAAAUAACAAUUUCGUCCCUACUCAAUUAGCCUCUCAAUUGAGCUUAUUUUUCUUAAUUAACACUUUAUUCUAUCACCUUAAACUAGUUUACAACUUUUAGGAAUCAAAAUUUCAGCAAUAGACUUUAAUUCCAAACAUUUUCACAAUUAGGUCCUAAAAAUCAAUUUCUAUUGAAAUUACCUAAUAAAAUCAUCUCAUAAACAAAUUAAAGCUUUAAUUUCAUUCUAUCUCAUCAUAAACUUACAGCACUCAACCUUGGUGACUUUCAAUUUCAUCCAUGCAAUCAAAAACUAAUGAAUUUAAUAGUAGGACCUAGUUGUAAAAGUCUUAGAAACACAAAAAUUACAAGAAAAAGGCAAGGAUUAACUCACUUGGUGCACAAAUUAUGGAAUACCAGCUUAGAGAACCCUCCUAUGGCGUUUUUAGCUACUGGAAUUGAAGAGAAAUGAAGAGAAAUCUAGAUAUUUCCUAUUUAGUCCUAGUUUUAUUUAGUUAAUUUUGCAAUAUUCCAAUUUUGCCCUUAAUUUAUCAAUUUUCCUGCUGAUUUCAUGCCCUUGCCCGUCCAGUCCAUAUAAAUUUUGGGUCUAAUUUCCUUUUAAAUCCUCUCUCAUUAGACACUUAAGCUAUUUAAUCAUCCCAUCCACUUUUACACCUUUUACAAUUUAGUCCUUUUCAUUUAAUUAACUAUCCAAACAUUAAAAUUUCCUAACAAAAUUUUAAUACCACAUUACUAACAUUUCAUAAAUAUUUAUAAAAUUAUUUUUAACUCGUUUUUACGAGAUAAAGAUCCCGAUACCUUAUUUUACCCAAUUUAUUCAAUAAUUUCUUUUUCUAACUAACCACUAAAUCGGUAAAAUUUUUCUAUCAAUAUUUUCAUACGAUUUUCCUAUCAUAUCAAUUUUCAUGCAAAAAUAUUGAAAUAAAUUUCUCUUUAAAUCAGAUUUGUGGUUACAAAACCACUGUUUCGAUAACCUUGAAUUUAGGUCAUUACGUAACGUGUUGGGUUUCAGUUUUUCGUUGGACCAAAUAAUCGAAUAUCCUUUUGUAAUUUUCAAAUGUAUGAGUUUUUGGAAAUCAAGAAUUGAUCAUAGUUUUGAGGGUUUAAAGGAUCUUGUCCUAACGUGCUGGAUGUGAUACUGUAUUCCUUUGAAACAAAAGAGUUUUAAUGUCUAAUUCGUGUCAUUCGAAUGUUUUAAAAUAAAUCUAUUUUAAAAUAUUUUUUAAAUCUUAGGCAUAAUGACAUUAUUUAAUCAAUUUGGUACCAAUUUGGGGCGUAACGAGGGUGCUAAUCCUACCUCGUACGCAAUCGACUCCCGAACCCAUUUUCUUAAAUUGUGUAGGCCAAAAUUGAUGUUUUAAUAAAAUAAAGUGUUUUAUUAGGUGACCCGAUCACACCUAAACAAAAAGGAUUGGUGGCGACUCCAUACCUCGUUUUAAAGUCGAUCCCCAUUUUUUUUAAUUAAUAAAAAUGGUUUCGACACACUCCACCGCUCAUGUAAAUACAUCAUUACUAGCAUAGAUACAAGAAUUCGUAUGGUCGAUACAAUUAAAUUAAUUCCCUGCUAAAAGAAUAAAAAUGACUGUCUAUCGAUUGCAAUGUUGCUGAUAUUUCAGUAACUUGAUUUAUUUAUAAUAAUAUGAAUUUUGGCUGAGAAAAAAAAUCUUUUAAAUGAUUUAAUUUUUAUUAUGUGGAUGAGGUUGACGAAGACCAUUUCAAGUCAAUAUACAGCUCUCUAGUAUUACUAUUUUUAUCUCUAUCAAUCAUGCAUUAUUGUCUUGCAUGCCCUUUUUUUAAUUUUUGUUUUUCCUUUUAGUGUGAAUGCUUAAAAAUCACAGUAGCUAGUAGCAAGGAUAUGAAAGUAGAUAUUUUUGAAAUGAGUUAAAGAUGUGCAAAGAGAAAUUACAUCAUACUACACUUGUUCACACUAGCCAUCACUUUUAAGAUGUUGACUGCUAUUUCCUCCUAAUUAAUUGUUAAAUGAACAAACUCACUCAAGAAAUUGAAAUGCACUUACCGACGUAGAGAUUUAAGAACCAAAUAGCAAAACAAAAAAAAAACCAAAAUAAAUUAAAACAGUCCAUUAAACAGACCCAAAUAGACCCAAACCCCAUUACAAUGAAAAAAAAACCAAACAAAUCAAAUAACCCAAUGCCUAAAAGGCCCAAAACCUAGACCCAGGUUCAGCCAAAUAGAAACCUAGGGUUUCCCUUGCGCCGCAGCUGGCCUCCCAGCACCGUACAACCUCCAGCGCUUCAGCAGCCUCCAGCACACAGCCUCCGUACGCCCCACGCCGAGUGCCACGUACCACCACAGCUGGCCCCAUACCCCGUACCUGCAAACCAAAACACGACAGCGGUACAAAAUAGCAAAAAGAAUGUAUUUUUCUUUUUUAUUUCAGCUAUAUAAAGCCAUACAAAAUUAAUGUAUUGUUUUUUUUUUAGACACAAUUUAUUGAAAACGCAUACUGAAUUACAAAAGCAACCAAAAAUCAAAAGGUGAUUUCAGAUUCAGUUAUUCUUUUCCAGUUGUUUUCUUCUUUUUUUUUUUUGGUUUUACAUACUGUGUAUUUGGAGUAUAAAAGAAAAGAAAAGAAAAGUGAAGGCUUACCUUGCAAAUAUGCCAUGAGAUUCCUUCUGCUUCGUUGAAAUCGAGGUAUGAGGAGAUACCAAAGAUGAAAAAACAACCGUCGAGGCUCGAAUACACUGGUUGCCGACUGUUAUGGCGGAUCGGCGUUUGAGCAAAAGGCGAUUAGGGUUCGGCCGAAUAUGGAAAAGGGAGUGUUUAGUUUUUUUUUCUGAAAUGGCUAAGGGUAUUAGUUUUAGGUUUUUUUUUGGUUUUUGGGUAUUAGUUUUAGGGUUUUUAGUUUUUUUGUCCUGCUUCAGUGGCUCUAAAAUGGUGUCGUCUAAGCCAACCCGUUUCGACUCGACCCGAUUGCCCCCAGGAUCCGAAUGUUUCUGCGGAGAGGGGAUAUUUGUGCAUUGAGUCCUUCUUUUUCGCGUUGACGUUCAAUUGGACCCUAUUCAUAUUUUUCUUUUUCUUAAUCUAUUUUUGCAACUUGUGCAUAAAUCCAAUUUAGUCCGUGCCUCAACGCUGCGUUUGGGAAUCUGGAAUAUUUCCAGUUUCGAUCCCUACGCAUUCGCGCGCAUUAUGAUUUAGUCCCUAUUCUAUUUUUAAUGGCUUAUUUUAUUUAUUAAUUACUCCUUUAAGCUUCAUUUUAUUUCAAUUAAGUAUUUUUUCAAUUAAUAUGAUUUAUUUUUAAAAGUUCAUUUAGCUUUCAUCUUUUAAAUUUUUUUUAUAUACAUUUUGAGUUACUUUGAUGAAUUUACUUUGUUUUUUUUUUAGUUUUUUUUAAUUUAUAAAAUUAUUUUUUUCAAAUUCUCUUUUAUAUCAUAUGAUUUUAAAUUUUUGUAUAAUCUUUAAUUUAAAUUACCCUCAUAUUAAUACAUAUAUAUAUAUAAAAGUUUAUGUAAAAGUUAGUUGUGUUCUAUGAAUAUUAUUAAUCCCAUGUUAACUUAUUUAUAAAUUCCCAUGUUAACUUAUUUAUAACUUCUUUUAAAUCUAUUUAUGUAUAUUUUAUCUUUAUGUACAUAAUUCAUUUUUUUAAAGAACAUAUUUUAUUACAUAUUUUUGUGAUUUA
rnacentral:lncRNA from 1 species